AACUCCGGAUUAUCCAAAUCCCGUCGGCAUAGCAACACCAGGCCAAACCAGAGACCUUGGAGGCUGCAGAAAGCCCCCAGCUAAACGAUGGAAAAGUGAUGGUCAGUCCUCCAUCUCCCUCACUACUGAUGAAGAAGAAGAGAACAAUGCUAGUGACAAAGGUGGUAGUUUUGUACACACAGUACAAAGAAGUCACACCACUUCAAACCACUAAUGCCAAGCUGGCCCAUCACCUGGUAAUAGUAGCAGUGGGACUCUUUUAGUUUGUACCUUCCAUCUUCCAGCUUCGCAAGAUAAGUUAAGGUUUCAAAGCUGUCCUUAGUAGGGCAUUUUAUCUCAAGAAGUCCAUAUUCUGGGUUGUUGCUCUGUCCUCCCUCUAUUACUUUAUAGUCUGGUGAAGCACCAAGGUGUGGGGCAUGGGGAUUUACAACAAACCCACAGGGUAACACAAUAUUGUUACUUAGUUUUGUGUAUUCUGUUGCUGCUACACUCUCUAAUGCCAAGCCCCUUCUCAUAGCCUUGG